AAGUCGUAACAAGGUUUCCGUAGGUGAACCUGCGGAAGGAUCAUUAACGAAGUCUGGGCUCCGGCCCUCUCUCUCUUAAUACAAACACUUGUGAACACACCAUGUUGCUUUGGUGGGAUUCACGACCGUCGCGCCUCCUCACGGGGGAAGAUGGUCGUGUCAGGUCGGAGACGACUCCCGCCAGAGGUCUUCAUUAAACCUUUACUAUUCAGUCUGACUAUUAUGAAUACAAAUCAUAACAAAACUUUCAACAAUGGAUCUCUUGGCUUUG
rnacentral:misc_RNA from 1 species